GUCCUCCUACGGGGGGCAGCAGUAGGGAAUCUUCCACAAUGGACGAAAGUCUGAUGGAGCAACGCCGCGUGAGUGAAGAAGGGUUUCGGCUCGUAAAUCUCUGUUGGUAGUGAAGAAAGAUAGAGGUAGUAACUGGCCUCUAUUUGGCGGUAAUUACUUAGAAAGUCACGGCUAACUACGUGCCAGCAGCCGCGGUAAUACGUAGGUGGCAAGCGUUGUCCGGAGUUAUUGGGCGUAAAGCGAGAGCA
rnacentral:rRNA from 1 species